rnacentral:rRNA from 1 species
AUUGAACGCUGGCGGCAGGCCUAACACAUGCAAGUCGAACGAGCGGCGUACGGGUGAGUAAUGUCUGGGAAACUGCCUGAUGGAGGGGGAUAACUACUGUAAACGGUAGCUAAUACCGCAUACCAUCAGAUGUGCCCAGAUGGGAUUAGCUAGUGGGUGGGGUAACGGCUCACCAAGGCGACGAUCCCUAGCUGGUCUGAGAGGAUGCCCAGCAACACUGGAACGGAGACACGGUCCAGACUCCUACGGGAGGCAGCAGGGGGGAAUAUUGCACAAUGGGCGCAAGCCUGAUGCAGCCAUGCCGCGUGUGUGAAGAAGGCCUUCGGGUUGUAAAGUACUUUCAGCGGGGAGGCGUUACCCGCAGAAGAAGCACCGGCUAACUCCGUGCCAGCAGCCGCGGUAAUUC